rnacentral:misc_RNA from 1 species
UGCAAUGGCUGCCUGCAUCAGCAAAAUGCUUUGACGAGAAAAAAAUGCUUUAAUAUUAUUGAAUAUUCCUAUAAUCAUGGCCCGGCAUAGGAAUGUCCGGACUAUGAACUAUGAAGAUGAAUGCUAUGAUGAAGAUGAUUACCUCGGACACUCAGUGGAAGACAAUUACUGUAUAUCUCCGGGCACAGCUGCCCAGUUUACUUUCAACCGUGAGAAGGACUUUGAUUUGUCUACCUACAUGAGUAAUGAAAAGAUUCCUGAAGAGGAGGAAGGCUUUGACAGUGACACAGACCCUCAGUCUCUCAAUGACUCCCAGGGGUACAAAAAACCCACUCUCAGUGAUACAGACCAAGGAAAGUUGAAUUCUUGUUUAGAAGAAAUACGCAAUAUAAUUGGAGAUAACACCCCGGACCAUGUGUUAUGUCAGACCAUCAUCAGAAACAAAUACGACCUCCAGGCCAGUCUCAACGAGCUACUUACAACAGACGCAACUCCCAAGCCCCAGAGACAGCCAAGACAAAGUCGACGGAACAGACCACAAGGCGAUGACAAUGUUGAUGAUGAUUUAAAUAUGUUUAUUGAGUCACUUGAAUCUGAAUCACUAGAAAAAACACAUUUCCUCUCCGACCAAAACAGACAUGUAGGAAUUCUAAAAUUUGGUAAACAGUCUCCUGUAGUUGAUAGUCCUAUUCACAAUAAUGUGAGACAAAAUAAAACUGACAUUACUUCAUCAGAAUCGGCUGACUCCUUUAUAUCCAGUAUUGUAUCAAAUACUGCACUUGGUGAAUCAGAUAGUAGUCUCAAGGGAACACUUCAGCCUGCACAGCCUAAGGACAAGGUCAGCUUGCAUGGUCAAACCAAAAGUGCUGGAUUUUCACUAUCCAACCUGGCUAAACAGCACAGUGUAGGUGCUACAGGUCAGGAAGUGAGACUGGCUUCCCUGGCAAAACCAUGUGUAAAAGGUCAACAGGUGAUGAAGAACAAAGACUUGAGUAGUCUAGGAAAGCUUUCUCCUCAGACAACUGGGGUGACCCCACCACUGGAGGGAGCUACAGCUAGUGAACAGCAAAAUGCCAGGCAGCCAUUAACAUCUUCACAAUUUACAGGUGGAUCCCAGUCGGGGUCAAACAAGCCCGCAGGGUUGUCACUCACAGACUUGAUCAAACAAAGUGGAACAGACAACAAGGCUGGUCUAGGUGCCAAGGAUGCGUCAUUGAUACAUGGACAUGCAUCCAGAGUAUCGCUUGUAGAUUUGGCAGGUCAAAGGUCACAAUCGGAUGUAGGUGAAGUUAGCUUGGGAAGUACAAACACAAAAGUUUCACUUAGUGAUCUUGCUACGUCGUCCAAGUCGUCUGGCCCACUUAAACCUGUACAAAAGCCAGGUCAAUCUUCAAGCAAGAUUGGGAAAUCACUGGCUGAUUUGGCAAGUCAACACAAAGCAGCAACAGGGGGGGCAGACAUGAAUCCAUUGAAGCCAAAUUCUGUUGCAAAAAAGUCUGUGGUUUGUCAAUUGUCAGGUUUAUCUCUUGCAGACAUGGCAAAAAGUCAAAAGUCACAACCACUUAAAGGACAAACAACAAGCUGCAAAUCUCUGCGAGACUUGGCACCAAAGCUGAACAGGGUGGCCAAAACUCCAUCUUUUUCUGAUGUGUCAAAUCAAAGUAGAUCCAAAAAUGUCGAGCAAUGUGUAGAAGAAAGUAGCAUGUUGUUGUCUGGAAAGGCAGAACCUGUCUCCCUAGUCCAGGAGAAGAAUACCAGAAAUGAUGAACAAGCUUUGAGUGAUAAGUUUUCAGAGUUAAUGACUACAAAGAUUGACUAUUUUUUGGAAGAUGAAACAGAUCUCACUGACAGGGUCAGGAUGGUUUCACCAUCCAUUCUUGCAAAGACUUUAUCUUCAUCUUUUGUUCGUUCCAAACAGCUUGAUGCUAAAAAACGACUAAGAUUUCGGAAGUUUUCAUAUCGAGUGCAAAUGUGUAAAGUGAAAGAAAAUUUGGCCAUGGUAAAAAAAAAUAUUGUGUCAUUUGAUUUUUCAACACCAUCUCCAGACGACAUCAUAAAGGAAAAACAAAACUUAGCUUUCACACGAAGUGGAAGAUAAACUGAGAUUUUUCCAAAUGUUAACUGUUGUAUUUAGCAUGAUGUAAAUAAUUCUGUUGUUGUUAUUUACUCUUAACAAAUGAAUGAAUACUUGUCCUAUAAAAUGACACGGCUUAAUGUAAGUGUGUCAUUAAUGUGUACAGAAGCACUUGUAGUUGUUAGUGUGAUGAUGUCAUGAUAGUGUACUUAUGUACAAGGUUUAGUGCACUUAUGUACAAGGUUUAGUGCACUUAUGUACAAAAAGGUUUAGUGUACUUAUGUACAAGGUUUAGUGUACUUAUGUACAAGGUUUAGUGUACUUAUGUACAAGGUUUAGUGUACUUACUGUAUACAUAGCUUUGGUUUCCUUUUGUACUUCACUAUAAAAUCACAUUAUUUUACCUGCUAGUUGACAUUUAAGUACAAAUUGUAUUUAGUUCAUAGACAACACUGAAAAAAUUAGUUUUGCUUGCAAUUACUUGAAUUUUUUUAUAGUGAUCAUUUGUUACCGUUUAGUUAUUCAAUGUAAACUUUGUAUGAUAAACUGUGUCUAUUAGAUAAUGUAUAUAUUGUAAGGCUGUUUAUAUAGAUACAUAGUGUACAUACAAAGCAUGCUAAAGAAGGCUCAACUGAUCUAUUGCGAUCACCUUUUAUUUGUCAUCCAAAGGACUGGUGAUCUUAUGUCACGGUGCAGCGUCUGUUCAGUUGUCAAUCGUCCACCAACUUCUCAUUUAAAACACUACUAGUCCUGAAUGGCUCUGUGGAUUUUGGUCUGGAACAUCCUUGGGCAAAGGGGACUCAAUUUUGUAUAAACAGAGAGUGUAGCCUCCUGGGGGAGGAGGGCCAAUAUUGGGGACUUAGUAAUAAAUGUUUAGAUUGGGGAAAAUGAGAUUUCUCUUUUAAAUUCUUCUCUUUCUGUAACAUUGAAGGGAUUUUAACCAAAUUUGGUCAAGAGCAUGCUUUGGCACGAGGGACUCAAUUUUGUAUAAUUAUAAGCGAAGAGUGUGGACCUCCUGGGGGAAGAUGAGCAGGGCCUGAUGGGGGGAUCCUAGUGACACAUAGACAUGAAGAGGUGGAGACAUUCAUGCUAUCAGGAUUGUCCUGGAGGUCCAGACCAACCCCGAUCCCCUGGGGACAUAAUUAUCAUUAUUAAGCCGUAACUGUCCAUUAUUAUUUUUUAUAAUAGACACUACUGGCCUAAUAAUGGACAGUUAUCGAUAACAAAAAUGAUUUUAAGCAACAGCAAAUUUUAGAAGCAAAUCCACAAUUUACUUCCAACCUUCAGCUAUAUGGCUUUACUGGGUAUAUGUACAGUAAAAUACAAUCCAUUAAAUGCCACAGAAAGUUAUAAAGUGUUGGUUUACAUGUUAAUAUUGGUUGAAUUGUUUUACACUUUGCUUCAGCAAUUUUGUCUAUGCAUGCAACCUAAGUGCCUUUUUUGUAAACUUAAACUAUUGUUCUCUGUUCGAUUUGAUGUAUUAAUCAACAUGUCAUUACAUUAAAAACAUUUAUAAAUGAUGUUGAAAGUGAUACACUUAUAUCAUCUUUUCCUAAGAAAAACAUGCACAAACUUGAAAUGACCAAGCUGGACUGACUGAUAAAUACUCAGGAUUCAGUACAUCAGUAUUUGGAAAUGAAAAGUAUGUGAAUUUUUAGGUCACCUGAGACAAAGUCUCAAGUGACCUAUUGCGAUCGCCU